rnacentral:rRNA from 1 species
UGACGGUACCCUACUAGAAAGGAGCCGCUAACUUCGUGCCAGAAGCGUCGGUAAUACGGGGGCUCCAAGCGUUAUCCGGUGUUAUUGGGCGUAAAGAGUCGUGUAGGUGGUUGGGUAAGUUAUCUUUCAAAUAUCUUUGCUUAACAAAGAGGAGGGGGAUAAUACUGCUCGACUAGAAUUUUCUCAAGGGAGAUCGGAACUGAGGGAGGAGUAGUGAAAUGCGUUGAUACCCUCGGGAACACCAGUGGCGUAGGCGGAUCUCUGGGAGAAGAUUGACACUGAGACACGAAAGCUAGGGGAGCGAAGCAGAUUAGAGACCUGCGUAGUCCUAGCCGUAAACGCAUGCUUGCUAGCUGCAUGAAUCUACCUUCGGGUGGUAUCGUGUGGCGAAGGUAACCCGUUAAGCAAGCCGCCUGGAAAGUACGGCCGCAAGGCUGAAAUUCAAAGGAAUUGGCGGGGAGGCACACAACCAGUGGAACAUGUGGUUUAAUUCGAGACUAACCGAAGAACCUCACCAGGGUUUGACAUGUAGCUGCACGUCUUAAGAAAUUAAGACUCUCUUGAAGGUGCUACACAGGUGCUGCAUGGCUGUCGUCAGCUCGUUCCGUGAGGAGUGCCCUUAAGUGGGACAACGAGCGCAAUCCCUAUUACAUGUUAGAAAUGUCAUGUAAGACUGCCUUGCCAUUUGGCGGGGAGGAAGGAGGGGCAGACGUCAAGUCCGCAUGGUCCUUAUGCCCUGGGCUACACACAUGUUACAAUGAGUACGGCAAUGAGUCUGUCGCGAGCACGUAAGUGUAAGCUAAUCUCUUAAAUGUACUCUCAGUGGGGAUUGAGGUCUGCAACUCGACCUCAUGAACACGGAAUUGGUAGUAAUCGCGGGUCAGCUAUACCGCGGUGAAUACGUUCUUGCCUCUUGCACACACCGCCCGUCAAACCAGCAAAGUCGAUUGUAUCCGAACCU